AUAUUAAGGACUAUUUGAUGUAGUAUCAUGCAGUAGCAUCACCUGUCUGUGCAGUUUCAUUAACAGAUGGAAAUAAAGUCAGCUGGGGGCUUUGAACUGAGUACAUGUGAGUAGGGGAGGGAGGCGGCCUCAAGUACUGGCUGGAAUGGCUGAACCUGUCUUAUGAUAACUGUUUUUAGUGUAUUUUAGCUCUUAGUUCCUGUUGCUUGAAAAUAUUCUGGUAUCAUGUGGAAUAAAAGAGAAAGAGUUGGGAGGUAUAUACCAGGCCAGACCGGAAGGAGACUAACAACAAAGUGCAUGUUGCACCUGACCGAUUGCUCAUCAGCAUUUCAUAGGGACCUGAUAGUACAUCCUCAGCAGGCCUUGGUCAAAUAUUGGUAGGCAAGAGCUGGGUAAGAACUCUUGGUACAGCUUCUCCUUGCAUUUACUGCAUGAUGAAAAGAGAAUCCUUUAAGCUUUCUGCCUCCAAUUUCUAACGGUAAAAUGUGAAAAAAUGAAGUUUACACAGUGAAAAA
rnacentral:lncRNA from 1 species